rnacentral:rRNA from 1 species
GAAGCGAAUCACUAAAAGACAGUCUCAGUUCGGAUUGUAGUCUGCAACUCGACUACAUGAAGCUGGAAUCGCUAGUAAUCGCGGAUCAGAAUGCCGCGGUGAAUACGUUCUCGGGCCUUGUACACACCGCCCGUCAUACCAUGAGAGCUGGUAAUACCCGAAGCCGGUGGCCUAACCGCAAGGAAGGAGCCGUCGAAGGUAGGACUAGUGAUUGGGGUCAAGUCGUAACAAGGUAU